rnacentral:rRNA from 1 species
AUUGAACGCUGGCGGCAUGCCUUACACAUGCAAGUCGAACGGCAGCGGGCCUUCGGGUGCCGGCGAGUGGCGAACGGGUGAGUAAUGCAUCGGAACGUGCCAUUGAGUGGGGGAUAACGUAGCGAAAGUUGCGCUAAUACCGCAUAUUCUGUGAGCAGGAAAGCAGGGGACCGCAAGGCCUUGCGCUCUUUGAGCGGCCGAUGUCAGAUUAGCUAGUUGGUGAGGUAAAGGCUUACCAAGGCGACGAUCUGUAGCGGGUCUGAGAGGAUGAUCCGCCACACUGGAACUGAGACACGGUCCAGACUCCUACGGGAGGCAGCAGUGGGGAAUUUUGGACAAUGGGGGCAACCCUGAUCCAGCCAUGCCGCGUGAGUGAAGAAGGCCUCGGUUGUAAGCUCUUUCGUCCGGGAACGAAGUACGCAUGGUGAAGUACCCUGUGUGG